UGGCUCUGGCCUCGCAGUACCGGGGUCCUGAGAGGAACGCAGACAGGCUCUGGCACCUCUUACACUCCAAGCCUCAGCGAGCCAGACACGAGGGCUCCCUCACCAUCUGUUCUGUGUUUGCCAAUCCUCUGCCAACUCGGCCUCCCCGAGGCCCCAGCGCCUGCCUUCCCUCCACAGGCAUCACCGUGAGAGAGGCCGGACCCCGAGUGUACCAUUCCCGGCCCCGUGAACAUCACGCCCGCCAGGCAGAACUCUGCCCACAGCAGCAGCGAUGAGGACAACAAUCGACAACCAGCAAUUCCCGGGCACUUGCGCCCCUGUGCCAGGCACAGGCAACACGCUCCCAGCAGCAACCCUAGCGAGUGGGCGUGGCCCCACUUUCCUGAUGAGGAAACUGAGGCUCAGGGAGUUGGGGUAUCUCGUCCGUACAGCUAAUAAGGGCAAAGGCAGGUCUGGCUGUGUCCUGAACGAUUCUGCUAUCCAGCUCCCAGGUACCUCCCUCCAGUACAGGUACAGAGCUGGGAAGAGACACCAGCCCAUAAGCCGGGAGUGCCUGUCUCGGGAGGGUGUGUAACCCCAUCCCCCAGCUGCCCUGACACUUGAGCUGGCUCUGAUGACUGCCACCUGUUCAGAAGAUCCCAGGCAAGAACAGAGCAGAGCCAAAGUCACACAGGCAGAGCAAGCUACCCAGGAGGCCGGGGAUGCAAAGAUGCCACCUGCAGUCCCAGCAAGUGCUCUGUCCUCCGCAGAUGCCCACGAGGGGCGUGCUGACCCCCCUCCCCCCCCCAGGGCCUGCAGCUGGAAAGGAGAAGCAGAGACGCCCUGAAGGGAUGGGCUGGUGGGGCCGGCGGCCCAGGGGACCCAGCUCCCGAGGGCCUGGUGUCACUCAGGGAGGACCUGGCCCAACUCCAAGUCAAAACACAGGUUCUGGAUCCAGGAUUCGUUCAAACCGCAGGUGACUCCCAGGGACACACGAGAAAGCAUCUAGCUGCUGGUUCAGGAGAGGCGACCCGGCUGAGGCAGCGGGGCCGGGGCAGGAGCCCCAGCAGGUGAUAUUCCCAAGAGCCUUGGCCCCUGCUGUGGACCCGGGACAGAAGCCUUGGGGUGUGGACGCCGUCAGCGAAGCCGGGCAACCAAGCUGGGACGCUCCGGUCAGCAAUUGCACACAGCAAGCCCUUCCCUGCCCCGUCGCCUGUGGGGCUGCAUGCCAGACAAAGGGGCCCCAGGAAGAGCCACGGGGAGAGGACGGUCACUGAGGAUAGAGCAGGAGAGCGGCGCAUGAGGCCACAGCCCGGUGCGCACCAACACUGGCCACACCAUUCUAGAAACCCACAGCCCCUGCAGGGGGUCAGAACCAAGUGACCGCAGAGGCUGCAGCCCUGGACGUUCUCUGUGAGAUCCGACGUCCUCCAGGCCGUGGGGAGCUCUGCACAGCAGAGGAACGUGGACUGGGGGAGACCCCUUCCCCAGGAGCCCACGUGAAUGGGGCCAAAUACAGGUCUGCUCACCCAGUUCCACCAUUGCCAGCCAUGGCACCCUAGCGCACAGACCCCGGUCCCAUCCACUCUGACCCACAGGGGCGCCUUCACUUUAGAAGCUUCCCCUUUCCCGUCUGGGAAGCAGGAGCAAAAAAACCUUGAACUCUUUGAGAAUGCAAACACACACAAAGUGUGUCUGGAACAUCUAGCUUUGUUCUAGCCACACCGUCUUCCUUCUGUUCCUCAAACAGGACAAGCCUGGUCCCACCCCCAAGCCCGGCUGUGCUUCUGGGGUCACCCUGCUCUGAGUUAAAACGCCCCUCCUGGGGGGGUCUCCCCCAACCAUCCUAGCUAAAGCAGCCCUCCCUCCACACAGAUAGCUUCCUCCUGGUUACUUUCACCCAGGACAUUUAUUCCCUGAAACUAUCUUUUUUUUU